rnacentral:rRNA from 1 species
AAUAUUGGACAAUGGGGGCAACCCUGAUCCAGCCAUGCCGCGUGUGUGAAGAAGGUCUUCGGAUUUUAGAGUUCUUUAAGUCGGGAGCAAGGGCGUUAGGCUAAUACCCUGAAUUUUUGACGUUACCAAGAGAAUAAGCACCAGCUACCUCUGUUCCAGCAGCCGCGGUAAUACAGAGGGUGCAAGCGUUAAUCGGAAUUACUGGGCGUAAAGCGCGCGUAGGUGGUUCAGUAAGAUGGGUGUGAAAUCCCCGGGCUUAACCUGGGAAAUGCUUUCAUAACUGCUGAGCUAGAGUACGGUAGAGGGUAGUGGAAUUUCCUGUGUAGCGGUGAAAUGCGUAGAUAUAGGAAGGAACACCAGUGGCGAAGGCGACUACCUGGACUGAUACUGACACUGAGGUGCGAAAGCGUGGGGAGCAAACA